rnacentral:rRNA from 1 species
GAGAGCGGCGUACGGGUGCGUAACACGUGUGCAACCUGGCCUUUAUCUGGGGGAUAGCCUUUCGAAAGGAAGAUUAAUACCCCAUAAUAUAUUGAUUGGCAUCAAUUAAUAUUGAAAGCUCCGGCGGAUAGAGAUGGGCACGCGUAAGAUUAGCUAGUUGGUGAGGUAACGGCUCACCAAGGCUGCGAUCUUUAGGGGGCCUGAGAGGGUGAUCCCCCACACUGGUACUGAGACACGGACCAGACUCCUACGGGAGGCAGCAGUGAGGAAUAUUGGACAAUGGGUGAAAGCCUGAUCCAGCCAUCCCGCGUGAAGGACUAAGGACCUAUGGUUUGUAAACUUCUUUUAUACAGGGAUAAACCUACUCUCGUGAGGGUAGCUGAAGGUACUGUAUGAAUAAGCACCGGCUAACUCCGUGCCAGCAGCCGCGGUAAUACGGAGGGUGCAAGCGUUAUCCGGAUUUAUUGGGUUUAAAGGGUCCGUAGGCGGGUCGAUAAGUCAGUGGUGAAAGCCUGCAGCUUAACUGUAGAACUGCCGUUGAUACUGUCGGUCUUGAGUGUAUUUGAGGUAGCUGGAAUGAGUAGUGUAGCGGUGAAAUGCAUAGAUAUUACU